AAUGCAUUAUAAUGGUCAAGGUUUUUACAACAAGGUUUCUAUAGAGACCUCCACGUCAAAAUAUAAAACACCUCUCUAACCCUUUAACCAAAAUAUAGGCAUACAACACCCAAAGAACAGUAGCAAGAUAUCCCCUCUCCUACAGUCUUUGUCAACUUUGAACAAUCCUCAAAGUUAUCCCAGAACGCAACACAUCCUUUUCUUGUAAUCACAACAGGGCAGCCACAAUCUUCCAAAGAUUGAGAGAAGUAGAUGAUCACGUUUCGAAUGCGUCUCAAUGUGCAGGAUGAGGUCGAAGGCUAGCUUUUUGCAGACGAUGAAUGCCGGGACGACAACGAUCUCUUCUACGGCUGUUUUUGCAAUGACUGCUGUCAACACCCAAUUUCGUUCGGAUGACUAAAUAAUAGGACUUGUUUUUAUUUUUGUCUUAUUUUAUUCUAUUUUUCAUUUUUUUAUUUUGUUUUAUUAUCUUUAAUUUUUAUUUUACUAUUUGGUAUUUGAUUUAGCUUUCUUUAUUAUUAUUUAAUUCUUUUUUUUUCUUUUAUUUUUUUUUCAAAAUGAAUAUAAAAAAAUAAAACCGGUUGCGACAACUGCAAAAG
rnacentral:lncRNA from 1 species